rnacentral:rRNA from 1 species
AGAGUUUGAUCCUGGCUCAGAUUGAACGCUAGCGGGAUGCCUUACACAUGCAAGUCGAACGGCAGCGCGGACUUCGGUCUGGCGGCGAGUGGCGAACGGGUGAGUAAUGUAUCGGAACGUGCCCAGUAGCGGGGGACAACCACUCGAAAGAGUGGCUAAUACCGCAUACGCCCUACGGGGAAAGGGGGGGAUCGCAAGACCUCUCACUAUUGGAGCGGCCGAUAUCGGAUUAGCUAGUUGGUGGGGUAAAGGCCUACCAAGGCGACGAUCCGUAGCUGGUUUGAGAGGACGACCAGCCACACUGGGACUGAGACACGGCCCAGACUCCUACGGGAGGCAGCAGUGGGGAAUUUUGGACAAUGGGGAAACCCUGAUCCAGCCAUUCCGCGUGUGCGAUGAAGGCCUUCGGGUUGUAAAGCACUUUUGGCAGGAAAGAAAUCGUGUGGGUUAAUACCCUGCGCGGAUGACGGUACCUGCAGAAUAAGCACCGGCUAACUACGUG